CUAUGUGUUGUUGGGUAGGGGAGCGUUCUGUAAGCCUGUGAAGGUGGCCUGUGAGGGUUGCUGGAGGUAUCAGAAGUGCGAAUGCUGACAUAAGUAACGAUAAAGCGGGUGAAAAGCCCGCUCGCCGGAAGACCAAGGGUUCCUGUCCAACGUUAAUCGGGGCAGGGUGAGUCGACCCCUAAGGCGAGGCCGAAAGGCGUAGUCGAUGGGAAACAGGUUAAUAUUCCUGUACUUGGUGUUACUGCGAAGGGGGGACGGAGAAGGCUAUGUUGGCCGGGCGACGGUUGUCCCGGUUUAAGCGUGUAGGCUGGUUUUCCAGGCAAAUCCGGAAAACCAAGGCUGAGGCGUGAUGACGAGGCACUACGGUGCUGAAGCGACAAAUGCCCUGCUUCCAGGAAAAGCCUCUAAGCAUCAGGUAACAUCAAAUCGUACCCCAAACCGACACAGGUGGUCAGGUAGAGAAUACCAAGGCGCUUGAGAGAACUCGGGUGAAGGAACUAGGCAAAAUGGUGCCGUAACUUCGGGAGAAGGCACGCUGAUAUGUAGGUGAAGCGACUUGCUCGUGGAGCUGAAAUCAGUCGAAGAUACCAGCUGGCUGCAACUGUUUAUUAAAAACACAGCACUGUGCAAACACGAAAGUGGACGUAUACGGUGUGACGCCUGCCCGGUGCCGGAAGGUUAAUUGAUGGGGUUAGCGGCAACGCGAAGCUCUUGAUCGAAGCCCCGGUAAACGGCGGCCGUAACUAUAACGGUCCUAAGGUAGCGAAAUUCCUUGUCGGGUAAGUUCCGACCUGCACGAAUGGCGUAAUGAUGGCCAGGCUGUCUCCACCCGAGACUCAGUGAAAUUGAACUCGCUGUGAAGAUGCAGUGUACCCGCGGCAAGACGGAAAGACCCCGUGAACCUUUACUAUAGCUUGACACUGAACAUUGAGCCUUGAUGUGUAGGAUAGGUGGGAGGCUUUGAAGUGUGGACGCCAGUCUGCAUGGAGCCGACCUUGAAAUACCACCCUUUAAUGUUUGAUGUUCUAACGUUGGCCCGUAAUCCGGGUUGCGGACAGUGUCUGGUGGGUAGUUUGACUGGGGCGGUCUCCUCCUAAAGAGUAACGGAGGAGCACGAAGGUUGGCUAAUCCUGGUCGGACAUCAGGAGGUUAGUGCAAUGGCAUAAGCCAGCUUGACUGCGAGCGUGACGGCGCGAGCAGGUGCGAAAGCAGGUCAUAGUGAUCCGGUGGUUCUGAAUGGAAGGGCCAUCGCUCAACGGAUAAAAGGUACUCCGGGGAUAACAGGCUGAUACCGCCCAAGAGUUCAUAUCGACGGCGGUGUUUGGCACCUCGAUGUCGGCUCAUCACAUCCUGGGGCUGAAGUAGGUCCCAAGGGUAUGGCUGUUCGCCAUUUAAAGUGGUACGCGAGCUGGGUUUAGAACGUCGUGAGACAGUUCGGUCCCUAUCUGCCGUGGGCGCUGGAGAACUGAGGGGGGCUGCUCCUAGUACGAGAGGACCGGAGUGGACGCAUCACUGGUGUUCGGGUUGUCAUGCCAAUGGCACUGCCCGGUAGCUAAAUGCGGAAGAGAUAAGUGCUGAAAGCAUCUAAGCACGAAACUUGC
rnacentral:rRNA from 1 species